GCUGGCCACGGUGAUAUGUGCCUGUAAUCUCUACUAUCAAAGAGGUUAAGGCCAAUGGACCUCUUGAGCAUGUAAGUUCCAAGCUGCAGUGGGCUAAGAUGACUGGGUGUUUGCACUAAGCUCAGAAUUAAUACAGGGGAAAGGAGGCCACCAGAUUGCCUAAGGAGGUGCAAACCAACCCAGGUUGGAAACACAGCAGGUCGUAACUCCUGUGUCAACAAAAGUGAGAUCAAGGCUUGUGAAUAGCCCUUGCUCUUCAAGCCUGGGAGAAAAAGGAAGACUCAGGGUUUU
rnacentral:SRP_RNA from 1 species